rnacentral:tRNA from 1 species
GGUCACGUAGCUCAGCCUGGCCAGAGCGGCUGACUUGUAAACUUCGUCAAGAGAUCAGCAGGUCGUGGGUCCAAAUCCCACCGUGACCU